rnacentral:rRNA from 1 species
GACGAACGCUGGCGGCGUGCCUAAUACAUGCAAGUCGUGCGGACCUUUUAAAAGCUUGCUUUUAAAAGGUUAGCGGCGGACGGGUGAGUAACACGUGGGCAACCUGCCUGUAAGACUGGGAUAACGCCGGGAAACCGGGGCUAAUACCGGAUCGUUUUCCCCCGCAUGGGGGGAAAAGGAAAGGCGGCUUUGGCCGGCACCUACCAGAUGGCCCGCCGGCGCUUUAGCUGGUGGGGGGGGUAACGGCCCACCAAGGCAACGAUGCGUGGCCGACCUGAGAGGGUGAUCGGCCACAUUGGGACUGAGACACGGCCCAAACUCCUACGGGAGGCAGCAGUAGGGAAUCUUCCGCAAUGGACGAAAGUCUGACGGAGCAACGCCGCGUGAGUGAAGAAGGCCUUCGGGUCGUAAAACUCUGUUGCCGGGGAAGAACAAGUGCCGUUCGAACAGGGCGGCGCCUUGACGGUACCCGGCCAGAAAGCCACGGCUAACUACGUG